AAUCAAGUGUCUUAAGGGCAUCUGGUGAAUGCCUUGGCAUUGAGAGGCGAUGAAGGACGUGGCACGCUGCGAUAAGCUACGGGGAGAUGUGAGCAAUCUUUGAUCCGUGGAUUUCCGAAUGGGGAAACCCGACCGUAAGGUCAUCAUGCACUGAAUAUAUAGGUGCAUGAAGCGAACCCGGGGAACUGAAACAUCUAAGUACCCGGAGGAAAGGACAUCAACCGAGACUCCGUUAGUAGUGGCGAGCGAACGCGGACCAGGCCAAUGCCGAUAAAUCUAUAACUGGAACCAUCUGGAAAGAUGGGCCGUAGUGGGUGAUAGCCCCGUACAGGUGUUUAGGUUUGUCGGAUUCGAGUAGGGCGGGACACGUGAAAUCCUGUCUGAACAUGGGGGGACCACCCUCCAAGCCUAAGUACUCCUCAAUGACCGAUAGUGAACCAGUACCGUGAGGGAAAGGUGAAAAGCACCCCGACGAGGGGAGUGAAAUAGACCCUGAAACCGGAUGCCUACAAUCAGUCGGAGCCCCCUCGGGGGUGACGGCGUACCUUUUGUAUAAUGGGUCAGUGACUUAGUCUGGCGAGCAAGCUUAAACCGAUAGGUGUAGGCGCAGCGAAAGCGAGUCUGAACAGGGCGUUCAGUUCGUCGGAUUAGACCCGAAACCGAGUGAUCUAGAUAUGAGCAGGUUGAAGGUGCGGUAACACGCACUGGAGGACCGAACCCACUAAUGUUGAAAAAUUAGGGGAUGACUUGUGUCUAGGGGUGAAAGGCCAAUCAAACUCGGAUAUAGCUGGUUCUCCGCGAAAUCUAUUUAGGUAGAGCGUCGCACGAAUACUCUCGGGGGUAGAGCACUGGAUGGGCUAGGGGGCCUCACCGCUUACCAAACCUAACCAAACUCCGAAUACCGAGAAGUACUAUGCGGCAGACACACUGUGGGUGCUAAGGUCCACAGUGGAAAGGGAAACAGCCCGGACCGCCAUCUAAGGUCCCGAAGUUAUGACUAAGUGGGAAAGGAAGUGGGACGGCCAAAACAACCAGGAGGUUGGCUUAGAAGCAGCCAUCCUUUAAAGAUAGCGUAACAGCUCACUGGUCUAAAUAAGCUAUCCUGCGCCGAAAAUGUAACGGGGCUAAAGUCAUACACCGAAGAUGCGGGUGUGCUAGCUUGCUAGCACGCGGUAGCGGAGCGUUCCGUAAGCCUGUGAAGGCGUGACGCGAGUCAUGCUGGAGGUAUCGGAAGUGAGAAUGCUGACAUGAGUAACGAUAAGGAGAGUGAGAAACUCUCCCGCCGAAAGUCCAAGGGUUCCUGCACAAUGUUAAUCAGAGCAGGGUUAGCCGGCCCCUAAGGCGAGGGCGAAAGCCGUAGUCGAUGGGAACGGGGUUAAUAUUCCCCGGCCAGUGGGACGUGACGAAUUGCGUAAGUUGUUCCUCCUUAAUGGAUUGGAGGGGCCGCGAAGCAGUUCCAGGAAAUAGCGCCCACAUGAGACCGUACCCUAAACCGACACAGGUGGACUGGUAGAGUAUACCAAGGCGCUUGAGAGAACGAUGCUGAAGGAACUCGGCAAAAUGCCUCCGUAACUUCGGGAGAAGGAGGCCCAUCCUCGAGGCAACUCUUGGGUGGGGGCACAGACCAGGGGGUAGCGACUGUUUAUUAAAAACACAGGGCUCUGCGAAGUCGCAAGACGACGUAUAGGGUCUGACGCCUGCCCGGUGCCGGAAGGUUAAGAGGAGAGGUGCAAGCUUUGAAUCGAAGCCCCGGUAAACGGCGGCCGUAACUAUAACGGUCCUAAGGUAGCGAAAUUCCUUGUCGGGUAAGUUCCGACCUGCACGAAUGGCGUAACGACUUCCCCGCUGUCUCCAGCAUCGACUCAGUGAAAUUGAACUCCCCGUGAAGAUGCGGGGUUCCUGCGGUUAGACGGAAAGACCCCGUGCACCUUUACUAUAGCUUUGCAGUGGCAUUAGUGGCGGCAUGUGUAGAAUAGGUGGUAGGCUUUGAAGCGGGAGCGCCAGUUCCCGUGGAGCCGCAAAGUGAAAUACCACCCUUAUCUUCAUUGAUGUCUAACCGCGGACCGUUAUCCGGUUCCGGGACCCUGCAUGGUGGGUAGUUUGACUGGGGCGGUCGCCUCCCAAAGAGUAACGGAGGCGCGCGAAGGUAGGCUCAGGCCGGUCGGAAAUCGGUCGCUGAGUGCAAUGGCAAAAGCCUGCCUGACUGCGAGUCUGACAAGACGAGCAGAGACGAAAGUCGGUCAUAGUGAUCCGGUGGUCCCGCGUGGAAGGGCCAUCGCUCAACGGAUAAAAGGUACGCCGGGGAUAACAGGCUGAUGACGCCCAAGAGUCCAUAUCGACGGCGUUGUUUGGCACCUCGAUGUCGGCUCAUCGCAUCCUGGGGCUGGAGCAGGUCCCAAGGGUUUGGCUGUUCGCCAAUUAAAGCGGUACGUGAGCUGGGUUUAGAACGUCGUGAGACAGUUUGGUCCCUAUCUGCCGUGGGUGUAGGAAACUUGAGAGGAGCUGUCCCUAGUACGAGAGGACCGGGAUGGACAUACCUCUGGUCGAGCUGUUGUCGCGCCUGCGGCAUUGCAGCGUAGCUAAGUAUGGACAGGAUAACCGCUGAAAGCAUCUAAGCGGGAAGCCCCCCUCGAAACAAGGUUUCCCUUGAGAACCGUGGAAGACCACCACGUUGAUAGGCCGGAUGUGGAAGCGCAGUAAUGCGUGAAGCUGACCGGUACUAAUUGUUCGAUAGGCUUGAUUGU
rfam:Alpha proteobacterium IMCC14465 IMCC14465_6, whole genome shotgun sequence.